UACGAAGGGGGCUAGCGUUGUUCGGAUUUACUGGGCGUAAAGGGUGCGUAGGCGGCGCGGUAAGUCGGGUGUGAAAUCUCGGAGCUUAACUCCGAAACUGCAUUCGAUACUGCCGUGCUUGAGGACUGGAGAGGAGACUGGAAUUUACGGUGUAGCGGUGAAAUGCGUAGAUAUCGUAAGGAAGACCAGUGGCGAAGGCGGGUCUCUGGACAGUUCCUGACGCUGAGGCACGAAGGCCAGGGGAGCAAACGGG
rnacentral:rRNA from 1 species